CCUACGGGGGGCAGCAGUGGGGAAUCUUGCGCAAUGGACGAAAGUCUGACGCAGCCACGCCGCGUGAGUGAAGAAGGCCUUCGGGUUGUAAAGCUCUGUCGGAUGGGAAGAAAACCUUUGAGGUUAAUAGCCUCAGAGCUUGACGGUACCAUUAAAGGAAGCACCGGCUAACUUCGUGCCAGCAGCCGCGGUAAUACGAAGGGUGCAAGCGUUGCUCGGAAUUAUUGGGCGUAAAGGGCAGGUAGGUGGUCUUGUUUGUCAGGGGUGAAAGCCUU
rnacentral:rRNA from 1 species